AUAGAGUGUGGAUGCAAUAGAGUGUGGAUGCAAUAGAGUAAUUACAUCCACACUCUAUUACAUCCACCAUCC
rnacentral:pre_miRNA from 1 species